rnacentral:rRNA from 1 species
GUACUAACCUGCGAUAAGCUGUGAGAAGUCGGUAAGAGACGCUAUUACUCACAGAUUUCCGAAUGGGGAAACCCACCCGAGAUAACUCGGGUAUCUGUUACUGAAUACAUAGGUAACAGAGGCGAACCGGGAGAACUGAAACAUCUAAGUACCCCGAGGAAAAGAAAUCAACCGAGAUUCCCUCAGUAGCGGCGAGCGAACGGGGAUUAGCCCUUAAGCAUCUUGGAAGUUAGUGGAACGGUCCUGGAAAGGCCGGCGAUACAGGGUGAUAGCCCCGUACACGAAAACAACCUUGAUGUGAAAUCGAGUAGGGCGGGACACGUGACAUCCUGUCUGAAUAUGGGGGGACCAUCCUCCAAGGCUAAAUACUCCUGACUGACCGAUAGUGAACCAGUACCGUGAGGGAAAGGCGAAAAGAACCCCUGUGAGGGGAGUGAAAUAGAACCUGAAACCGUGUACGUACAAGCAGUGGGAGCCCUUCGGGGUGACUGCGUACCUUUUGUAUAAUGGGUCAGCGACUUACAUUUUGUAGCGAGGUUAACCGUAUAGGGGAGCCGUAGGGAAACCGAGUCUUAACUGGGCGUCUAGUUGCAAGGUGUAGACCCGAAACCGGGUGAUCUAGCCAUGGGCAGGUUGAAGGUUGAGUAACAUCAACUGGAGGACCGAACCCACUAACGUUGCAAAGUUAGGGGAUGACCUGUGGCUGGGGGUGAAAGGCCAAUCAAACUCGGAGAUAGCUGGUUCUCCCCGAAAGCUAUUUAGGUAGCGCCUCGGACGAAUACUACUGGGGGUAGAGCACUGUUUGGGCUAGGGGGUCAUCCCGACUUACCAACCCCAUGCAAACUCCGAAUACCAGUAAGUAAUAUCCGGGAGACACACGGCGGGUGCUAACGUCCGUCGUGAAGAGGGAAACAACCCAGACCGCCGGCUAAGGUCCCAAAGUUCUGGUUAAGUGGGAAACGAUGUGGGAAGGCUCAGACAGCUAGGAUGUUGGCUUAGAAGCAGCCAUCAUUUAAAGAAAGCGUAAUAGCUCACUAGUCGAGUCGGCCUGCGCGGAAGAUGUAACGGGGCUCAAACCAGGCACCGAAGCCGCGGAUUCACACUUAUGUGUGAGUGGUAGGGGAGCGUUCUGUAAGUCUGCGAAGGUGUAUCGAGAGGUAUGCUGGAGAUAUCAGAAGUGCGAAUGCUGACGUAAGUAACGAUAAAGGGGGUGAAAAGCCUCCUCGCCGGAAGACCAAGGGUUCCUGUCCAACGUUAAUCGGGGCAGGGUGAGUCGACCCCUAAGGCGAGGCCGAAAGGCGUAGUCGAUGGGAAGCAGGUUAAUAUUCCUGCACGACUUGUAAUUGCGAUGGGGGGACGGAGAAGGCUAGGUGGGCCAGGCGACGGUUGUCCUGGUGAAAGUGCGUAGGUGGUGUUUCUAGGCAAAUCCGGAGACACAACACUGAGACACGAGACGAACACACUACGGUGUGGAAGCCAUUGAUGCCCUGCUUCCAGGAAAAGCCUCUAAGCUUCAGAUUACAAGUCAUCGUACCCCAAACCGACACAGGUGGUCGGGUAGAGAAUACCAAGGCGCUUGAGAGAACUCGGGUGAAGGAACUAGGCAAAAUAGAACCGUA